UGAGUGUAAUUUGGUCUUAGUAUCUAUCAACUUUUCCCAGCUCAAAAAACAAUAUAUUUUUCGCCAGGACAGAGCUCAAAAUACAAAGACUGACUUUUCCUUGUCUAAAUUUUACUGAUAUUAGCGUGUGUGUAUUAGCUCUGAUGUGUGUUCUAAAAAAAUAUGUAAUAUUUUCAUGUUGCAGCCAUUUGUGAAUAGUUUAUCUAAAUGCCCAAAACCCACUUAGAGCUCCAGAGAGGUCUUGUUUUCUUGUACUAUGGAUUUAAGGUGAUUCUCAAGAGGAACAAGUCGCCAUGGACCGAUGAGAUCGAGAGACGGCUCCGCGGUUGCGUGGAGUGGCGGCUGAGAGGAGAGGCAACAACAACCCGUUGUCCGUGACGGCCCGAGCAUUUGCGAGAGGGGAUGGAGCGGGGGUUGCAUCGUCACGGCCAGUUGCCAGAGUGGAUGGAGUGGUGGCCGCACGGACGCGCUCCUGGAGGUGCCGGUAUGCACCCUGAUUUUGAGCCUGGGAGGUUCCUUGCUCUGUCCUAUUCUCAAGGGUGUUCAUCUACUUUGGUAUCGUGCUCUGGAGUCAGGACGAUGCACUAAUGCAGGUUUGAUUCUUUACUUUUUCUUUUGUUUUAUUUGUAUGCAUAUCCCUGAAUUUUGUGAGCCGUGAUUUAAAUGUUGUCGUGUGUGCCAUUGUGUCCUAUAUAAUUAUUCUAUUGAAGCACCGCUGCAACCCAGUUUGUUUAUCAAAUUGAUGCAAGAAACAAACUAAUACAUAGAGAGUAUAAAUUUAUUGCAUUAAUCUAUAUAUCCCUGCACCUAGCGAUAGGUAGAGAUGGAUAAAUUUUGUAGCUUUUUGAUCCCGGUUUUUCCUAUUGAAAUUAUGGAUUUGGAAUUUAAUCAUGGAGUGUUUCGAUUGCCUGCUUACGAAAUCACAAUGAGCACAAGUCUGCAACCUUGAAGGAAAACCCGUUGCAACUGAUGACAUAAUAUUACGUCGCAACAAGAAUGUAUAGAGCUGCAGAGCUCUGUGGAUCCUUCUCUUCACAAAAGGUGCUGCCGGUUGAUGGGGGCCUAACCAUGAGUCUAACUGAAAGUGAACGGGAGCGAUGUGCAGAAAAAAAUCUUAGCACAUAGGCUGAAUUUGUAUAGUACUUCGAAUUUAUUAGGCAGUACCCCCUCCAUUUGUAUAUCACUUCCGAAUACAAGUUCAGGUUAUUAGGCAGUACUAUUGAAUUUAAGGAUUGAUACUUGAAGAUUUUAAAAGGUUACUAAAUUUUGUACCAAGUCUACUGUUAUGUAUGGGAAGAACAUGCGCUAAAAUAUUGAUAAUGCAAAUGAAAGUGAUCGUUUGAUUAUUAAAUCAUGCCACUAAUAAGAUAAGUUCUUGUCACUUAUUUCUUCA